UUAAUACUCCCUCCGCCCUGAAUUACUUGUCGUGGAAAUGGAUAAACGUAGAUGUAUCUAGAACUAAAAUACGUCUAGAUACAUCCAUUUCUGCCACAAUUAAUUCCGGACAGAGGGAGUACUUG
rfam:Triticum aestivum genome assembly, contig: Triticum_aestivum_CS42_TGACv1_scaffold_503252_6BL